rnacentral:misc_RNA from 1 species
GAAAUGCGAUACGCAAUGCGAAUUGCAGAACGCGAGUCAUCAGAUCUUUGAACGCAAGUGGCGCCGGUUAGCAGCCGGCAUGUGGUGCUCAGUGUGUUUCGGAAAUCACACAAGCGGAAUGUGGUUGAAGGCGCAUAACAGUGCUUUCUCCCAUUAAACGCGCGCUGGACCUGCGGGCGAGCGGAAGAGGGGCAACUCUCUCUCGCUCGUCGGCAUCGGCUCCUGCCCGGAAGUAGUCACUAGCUUUCUAGUGAUCUACGGGCUUGGGGGACAAAAACCGACGCCUUCACGCUACACAAACGGCCAGCGGGAAACUCGAAAGAGUAAUAAAACACUUCCCAUCCUGCACCUGAGCUCCGCAAGGUCACCCGCUGAACUUAA